rnacentral:rRNA from 1 species
UACGUAGGGGGCGAGCGUUGUCCGGAUUCAUUGGGCGUAAAGCGCGCGUAGGCGGCUUCGCAAGUCGGCCGUGAAAUCUCCGGGCUCAACUCGGAGGGGUCGGGCGAGACUGCGAGGCUCGAGGUGGGCAGAGGGCAGUGGAAUUCCGGGUGUAGUGGUGGAAUGCGUAGAGAUCCGGAGGAACACCAGUGGCGAAGGCGGCUGCCUGGGCCUGGCCUGACGCUGAGGCGCGAAAGCGUGGGGAGCGAACAGG